AAGGAAGUGGCAGAGUGGUCAUGUAUCUGGCUUGAAACCAGGCUAUGGGGGCUCGAUUCCCUCCUUUCUCG
rnacentral:tRNA from 1 species